rnacentral:rRNA from 1 species
AUGAAGGCCAUAGCUUGGAACUGUCGAGGUAUGGGCAGGGGCCUCGGCAGUGAGCACAUGCUAUACCUUGCAAAUUUGAUGCGGCCCACUAAUGUUCAGGUAACUUUUGUUUCAGAAAUUAAAUCUUCCAAAGUCCGUUCAGUUGAUCUUGUCAAUAGGUUUGAUGUGUCCAAUGCAUUUGUUGUUCCUUCUAGAGGUGCCUCGGGUGGUCUUUGGCUUAUGUGGACCGAUGAACUCAAAGUUUCUAUUCAUACAGCUGCUUUUCACUAUACUUUAGCUAAUGUAGUCCAUGUAGCUUCUGGGGUCAACUUUUGCCUGAUUUGUAUAUAUGGUGACCCGUAUCAUAGGCAGACUAAUGCCAUCUGGGACCAAGUUACUACUUUUGUAUAUGAUAAUUUAGGUAAACCCAUGGUUUCUAUGGGUGACUUGAAUGAUAUCCUGUAUGAUGUGGAUGGUUGUAAUGGUAAUAUCAACUACUAUCGUAUGCAUGCUUUCCGGUCGCUUGUUAAAAAUUGUGGCUUGUUUGACAUUGGUUACAGUGGCCCUGCUUAUACUUGGUGUGGUAGACAGAAUACUUCCAAACCUAUUCAUAGACGCCUUGAUCGUUGUUUGGUUAACUCUGAAUGGUGCUCUUAUUAUCCCAAUACCAAAGUGUUGAACCUUCCCAUCAUUCUCAGUGAUCAUGCUCCUAUUUUAAUUUCUACAGAGAGUCAAUUUGUGAAACCUAAGCAAACUUUCAAAUUUGAAAAUUGGUGGUUCAUGGAGAAAGACUUUCACUCUUUUGCUAAAAAUACUUGGAAUGCUUGUACUCUCACUUCUUUUGUUGCAAAGUCUUCCUCUUUGGCAGGGUCUUUAAAAACUUGGUGUAAAAAUAAAAAAACCCUUCAGCAGAACCUUGCGGACUUGGAGUCAAAGAUUAAUGAGCUGCAGCAGCUUCCUCUUCAGCAGCAAAAUCAUGAUUUGGAAAGUUCUCUCAUUGCUAGAUUCUUAAAGACAUGA